UUCAGGAAGCAUACCCAAGGGGUUGGGGUCAGAGACGGUGGACAGGAGUGUCCCAAGUCAAGUCCAAUUCACAGGAUGGAGGUAAAGUGAUUCAUAAGAUUGUCAACUUUAGACAUGUUGUAAUGGUUAAUUACCACCAUUAUGUUAAAGAAAAUACCUAUUAAUAAAAGUACUAGCAUAGUUGGGUAGAUGACAUUGGGCAGGUCUUUUCCUCUGGUCAGGCCAGGCACAUUUCCCUGCCCUGAUGAGGUUGAAGGACCCAGAUGGACAUAGAGGGCUGUCGUCCUGCCUGACUACAGUUACUGUCCGGCAGCUUUUCCUCCCUCUGACAUCACACGAUCAAGCAGAUGGUGAUUUGGGAAACUCACUGCUCAGCCUGUAGGGUCUCCACUUGCGCCUGCUGAAUAGCUUUAUGGGUCAGCCGCUUCAGGUGAGUGGUCACGGGUGUUUGCUGGGUUCCAGCCUUGGUGUGAGCCGAAUCAGGAGGAAGUGGUACUCGUUUAGAAAGCAGCGUGUGACGUCCUUUAGAAUCUGUCACGAGACAUAGAGCAGAUUGAAGUUAAAGUUGAGUAAAAACAACUACAGGUUGAUUAGAGCUGCGGUGUCUCGAUCCUUUCCUGUGUCUGCUGGUGGUCAUUUCCUGUUUGUCUUCGUGAAGAUCUCGCUUUAAGAACAUGAAGGGCAAGUUGCAAAGAAGAGAAAAGACUGGAUCCUGGAGGGGAGGAGAAGACAGGGCAGAUAUGUACCCCUCUGACAACACUGUCUCAUUGAGAAGACAGGGCAGAUAUGUACCCCUCUGACAACACUGUCUCAUUGAGAAGACAGGGAAGGGAGGUUCGAGCUGACACAACGUACACUGCCCGGCAGAGAAGGACUCACUUCUGAACCCCAGUCAGUCCUGUGUGUUCCGGGCCUGGAGAUUCACCAUUAUGGUAUACUACUGUCCUGUGGACAGAAUCUGGACAGAAACUGGCCCCUCUCGAGGACAUGGUCCCAAUCCUCUGGACAGAAACUGGCCCCUCUCUAGAACAUGGUCCCAAUCCUCUGGACAGAAACUGGCCCCUUUCUAGAACAUGGUCCCAAUCCUCUGGACAGAAACUGGCCCCUCUCUAGGACAUGGUCCCAAUCCUCUGGACAGAAACUGGCCCCUCUCUAGGACAUGGUCCCAAUCCUCUGGACAGAAACUGACCCCUUUCUAGGCCAUGGUCCCAAUCCUCUGGACAGAAACUGGCCCCUCUCGAGGACAUGGUCCCAAUCCUCUGGACAGAAACUGGCCCCUCUUGAGGACAUGGUCCCAAUCCUCUGGACAGAAACUGGCCCCUCUCUAGGACAUGGUCCCAAUCCUCUGGACAGAAACUGGCCCCUCUCUAGGACAUCGUCCCAAUCCUCUGGACAGAAACUGGCCCCUCUCUAGGACAUGGUCCCAAUCCUCUGGACAGAAACUGGCCCC